UACAGAGGGUGCGAGCGUUAAUCGGAAUUACUGGGCGUAAAGCGUGCGUAGACGGCUAUCUAAGUCGGGUGUGAAAGCCCCGGGCUCAACCUGGGAACUGCAUUUGUGACUGCAUCGCUGGAGUGCGGCAGAGGGGGAUGGAAUUCCGCGUGUAGCAGUGAAAUGCGUAGAUAUGCGGAGGAACACCGAUGGCGAAGGCAAUCCCCUGGGCCUGCACUGACGCUCAUGCACGAAAGCGUGGGGAGCAAACAGG
rnacentral:rRNA from 1 species